rnacentral:rRNA from 1 species
CUUCGGGUUGUAAAGUACUUUCAGCGGGGAGGAAGGGAGUAAAGUUAAUACCUUUGCUCAUUGACGUUACCCGCAGAAGAAGCACCGGCUAACUCCGUGCCAGCAGCCGCGGUAAUACGGAGGGUGCAAGCGUUAAUCGGAAUUACUGGGCGUAAAGCGCACGCAGGCGGUUUGUUAAGUCAGAUGUGAAAUCCCCGGGCUCAACCUGGGAACUGCAUCUGAUACUGGCAAGCUUGAGUCUCGUAGAGGGGGGUAGAAUUCCAGGUGUAGCGGUGAAAUGCGUAGAGAUCUGGAGGAAUACCGGUGGCGAAGGCGGCCCCCUGGACGAAGACUGACGCUCAGGUGCGAAAGCGUGGGGAGCAAACAGGAUUAGAACCCCCGGUAGAGAUGGAGG